AGGUAUUGCUAGGUAAAAAUAUUAGAAAAUUAGUAGAGAAAGUACUAGAAAAUUAUAUUUAGAACUCUGAGAAAUUUCUCUGUCAGAAAAGUAAGGGAGGACAUUGUUCAAUUCAUCUCAAUUUUCUUUUAUAUCUUUAAGUCCACUGAUUUUGAUAAAAAGUUACCAUAAAGUCAGGUGAUACUGAGCUUCUGAAACAGACUAGUUUAGUAUUGCAUCAAUAUAUGCCCUGGAUUUGAGAAUUAAUAUUAACUUUAUGUAAAGGCAUUUCUAUUUCUGCAUUUUUAAUCUAUUUUAAUUUCCUGAAAUAUUUCAUUGCAGGUUCUAAAUAACUAGGAUAGCUAGUAACAGUGGCUAAAAAAGGGAAUAAGCCACUGCCACAAGGAAUGACUGCCUUCUGUGCUGAUGACAGAUCUGCCCCUCUGCUAUCAGACAUUGUGCUUUUGCCAUCUCAGUUUCCUAAGGACUGCCUCUGCCUGGGAGCCAGUGGAGCAGCCGUGUUGGAGGCAAAACCGUUCUCUGAGGAGGAUGAUGAUGGAUGACAGAGUGAUUCCCUUCCACAUGGCUGAGGCUCCUGCUGAGCUCUGAGUUUGAUGACCUCAGGUGCUCCUUCCCAGUGCAACUUCAGCUGCUCAAGUGCAGGUAAUGAAACCAUCCAGACAAGAGAGUUCCCAAGAACCAUUUGAGAAGAUUCUUCAGUAGUGCUGGCAGACAUUUUACUCAGUGGAGCAGAUCUCUUCAGGGAACCAAUGGCUCUUAAUCCAAGGGUGAGAUUACUUUGAUUUAGCUCCACUUAAACACAGCUGUACCAGAAAAAUUCUAUGGUUCAGCAGCAAUAGGAGAUUUGGUCUAUUCUGCCUGCAUUGUGACACUCAGGAUGGGACACCUGCACAAAUCUCUGAUCUCACACCUGUGCUGAGCAGUAUCUCCAGGUGACCAAUGAGACCUACCUGGCUUUCAGACCAUACUAUGGUGACAUAACAGGAAUUGUGCCUCACUCCCCUAAACCUCCUAAACAGACAAUAGAGGGAAAUAAGCACUUCCAUGUGCUAGUUUGGAUCUCACACAGGCUAUCAAGGGAACAUAAAGUUCCCAGUGCGAUGAACCUGAGCCUUGGAUAAAUACUUGCAGUGACUUUUGUGCUUAUGGGGCUCUAAGACAAAUGAGUAAACAAACAAUGCUCUCUUCCCAUUUCUGCCUUGCAAAAACAUAAGGGAAAAACUUUUACACCCUUUGUUGGGAUGUUAGUGCCAGAGUAAAGAUACCAGCCCUUAUUCCAUUCAAAUGUCCAGGUUUCAUUUCCAAUUGUUUCUCUGGAAUCCUUUUUUUUUCCCUCUUCUUCAGCUGGUUGAGCAAUGACUGUUCUUAUAAAACGAAUUUUCAGCUUUGUAACAGUCCUGACUUUUCAAUGUUUGAAAGGCAAAAGGGUCACUCAAAGUAAACUCUCUUGUGCUAGAUUGUGUUUUUCCACAUGGACAUGUUGGAGGCCACUCUGUGCUGUCAGCCCAGAAAGGCCAGAAGAUACCUUCAGACUCCCCAGGUGCCUCUGUGUUUGUUUUCUAAUGUUGUUGCAUGCGUAAUAUCAUUAAUAUUACAUCCGAAGCUUGUCUUUAUAAACAGAGUCAACACGUCUAACUUACU